rnacentral:lncRNA from 1 species
UUGCACUCUCACUCUUCCUCAGAUUAUCUAUACAUCGUCCAGAAUGCAUGAUUAUAAGAAAACCCACGACUGCUUCAGCUACUUUUAACCCUGGUACGGGUUCCCGCUGCCAUCCCGGUUAGGUGGAUAGUUGUUCUGGUACUGUGGCUGCUGCAUUCCACCACCCGGCUGCUGCUGGUAGUUGUUGUUGUUACCUGACCAUCCUGCAUUUGGUGGACCUCCCCCUCCCAUGUUGUUCUGCGGUGGUGCUCCUCCAUAGUUCGGUGGAGGCGCUCCUCCGUAGUUUGGUGGUGGUGCUCCUCCCAUGUUGUUUUGUGGUGGCGUUCCUCCUCCGUAGUUCGGUGGUGGUGGUCCUCCAUAGUUCGGUGGUGGUGGUGGUGCGCCUCCGUAGUUUGCUGGAGGCCUCUGCCCUCCCAUAUUGUUAUGUGGCGGUGGUGGUCCUCCAUAGUUUGGUGGAGGCCUUUGUCCAUAAUUCUGCCCCAUGGGAGGUGGAGGGGGUGCAGAGCCACCCAUGUGAGGUGGAGGAGGGCCACCCAUGGGAGGACGUUGAGGAGGAGGGCCUCCAGCCAUGUUCUCUCUUCUCCUCUCAAAAUUUCUGCUUCUAUCAAAGUUUUUAGGACGGUCAUUGCGCCUGUUUCUUUCAUUGGCUCUAGCAUUGUUCCUUAUCCAUUCCUCGUGGUACUUGGGGUCAUAAGGAACAGCUUUCCCAUCAAUGAAAGGUUCCCCUGAAAGCCAAUAUUUAAAAAAAAAAUAUCAAGCUAAGUAUCUGAUAAAAUCACCAGAAAGAUGUAAACUCUCAACAAAACAACAUCAAUGCGGACUCUAAUACACUAGUCACAAAAUUGAUAUCACUAAUCAAGUCUAAGAUAUGUGAUAUCCAAUACACAGGCAUGAAGCAAGAAACGGAAUCAAACAUUAACUAACCCACAGAGACAAGACCAACAUCAGACACUUCCCUCUCAACAACAGUUCAAAGCCAGCAAGUAAAAUGGAAUAGCAUAGGAACUCUCUCGUGAUACAGAUAACAAGCUAAGCAUUACCUCCGUAGUCUUUGUUCCUCACAUCCAGGUACGAAUCAGGAAGGACCCAGCGCACCUUUGGCAACUCUGUAGAGUCACAGAAACAAAUUUAAGAAAAAAAGCAAACUUUAAAAAUAGAAACAGGGGAAAAAAAAAAAGUAAAAAAGGCAAUAUUACCUUUCAGCUUGUGAGAGAGAUCUUCAGACACAAGAGCUCCAAAAGCAAAGUAACAUCGAGUCGAAACAGAGUAGAUCUUCAUCCUCGCUUCUUCUUCACUACAAGAUUCAAAACAAGACUAAUCAUACAAGUGUUUCGAAAUGAUUCCAACUAAACUAAACAGAUAUCUAAUAUAGAUUCUACUACAUCGAAAGCUUAAACACAAAACUUACUACAAGAACAGUCAAUAAAGGAACAAACUUUUGAAUCUGUAGGUUUUACCUGCCAACGAUCUGAGCUAGGGUUUUGAUAUAGCUGUCGAUGAUCUCAUCUCUAGUGGGAUCUCCCUCAGGCGGAUCCACAACCACAAGCCAAUGCUCGAAAUCGCAUCCAUCGAGCAAAAUCGUCUCCUUUGGAGGCCUGUUGGACCAGUUGGGACUCGGAUCGUUCAGAGAAGACGAUGUAGCCUGCGAAGAAAGACCUUUGACAGACACAAGUCCACCGCGGAAAGCGGAUGACAAGGCGGCGACUAAGGGACGGGAUCGGGUGAGCAGAGACGACGUGUAAAGCGAAGUCGCCGGAGCUUUGGCGAGAGGAGCAGAUGAGGCGAAGGAUCGGGUGAAGAGAAGGGAGAGAGAUUUCGCCGGACGGCAGAGAAUGGAGCGAGAGAUGGAAUGCGUCGCCAUGGAAAAGAUACAAAACCCUAGACGAAGGGUUUUGCCAAGGUUUAAUAGUGGAUACUGAUAACGAGGGUGUUUUCGGUAUUUCAGAGCCGAACAAAAUAUCAACGAAGUAUUCGGUCAUGACUCCCUUGAUCUUCUCGUAUGUAACAGAAUGGCCCACAUCUUUUACAAAAUAUCCACUACUAAUAUUAAUAUUACUCUAGUUAGUUUGCCAAAUUAGUUGUUUAGUGUUUUUUUCUUUUCUUUCAAAUUUAUGGUUGUAGCAAAUAUGAUACGUGUUUGCUGGUGGUGUUAAGAGUAUAUAGACUGAAUUUUACAUGAACAAUUGGAUAUGAAUUCUUUAGAAAGCCAUCAUUCUUUUAUAUGUUUAUAAACUAUGAACUGUUGAUUUUUGGAGAAGUAUUCUUUGGUCAAAUGUUCAUGUUUGCAGUAUUUCACUAGAAUUUGAUUUAUAUUACGUAUUUUAGAGUUAAGGUAAUCCUCUAAACUAUAUUUGCAAAGUGAUUUUGCCACAUAUCAUUUCUACAAUUAAUUUCUCAAAACAAAUAUGACAUGGCUACUGAAAUUGACAACAUGUAUAGCUUAAUAUGACAUGAUGUUAAUUUAUAUUUUUGGUAAACUUUUUAAAAUAUGGUAAUAACUCAUAUAUUACAUUUAAUGUCAAUUUAUAUUUUUAGAAAUUUUUUUAGAAUAUGGGAAUAACUCAUAAAUCAUCAUUAAAAUAAAUAUAUUCAAAUAUGGCAUUAUAAAUUUUGAAAUAUAAUUUAAUUAUAUAUUUUUAUAUUAUACAAUUUUAUUACUAAAAUUUUCAAAAAUGUAUACAGUUUUUUAAGAAAAUUAUAAAAAUUUAAUCGUAAAAUUAUUAUUUUCUUACAUAUCUACAAAUUUUAUAAAUAUUGUUUAAUUUUAAUUUUUGGUAAUUAUGCAACUUUUAUAAAUUUAUUUAAUAUAUUUAAUUAAAAUAAAUAGAUAGAAAAAUCUAUCUAAGAUUAUAAUUUCAAAUAUAUACAUGCAUAUUCUUAAAUAUAAUUUUUAUGUUUAAUUAAAUCAAAUUUGUAUUAAAAUAUUGAUACGAAAAAAAAAUUUACAAUACUAAUAAAAUUUUAUUUUAAAGUAUAAUUUAUAUUUAUCUGUUAAAAAAUAUUUUAAAUUUUUUUACUGCACAUGGUGUAUGAAGUAUUUAUGAAAAGAAUUAGUAGUUUACAAUUAUUCAGAGGUAAAAUAAAAUAUCUUCCUCAUGUGUGAACCUUCUAAACCGUAGUUUACAAUUAUUCAGAGGUAAAAUAAAAUAUCUUCCUCGUGUGUGAACCUUCUAACUGGGCCAGUAGUUAAUGAUUCGACCAUAUACUAAUUGUCUUUUUUGUUUGUUUGUUGAGCAACGCCCUACCUUUUUUUUUUUUUGGCCAUCUUAGAUAUUUAUAUAUAUGCAUCCAAAAAAAUAUUACAAGAGUUUACAAAACAGCCAUACCAUCUGAGCUAAGGAACACCAUGCCUAUCACUAUUGUCAUUAUGAAAAACCUCAGAAUACCAAAUAGGCUGGCUUCUAGCGACAUAAGAUUGGAACCGAAGAUCCAUCACAACACUAGUGGCAAUCAGAUGCGCUCCUCUAUUCGCCUCAUACGAUUUAGCUAACAUUUUCCACUCCAAAAAAUCUCUUAGUAUACUUCUGAGUUCUAAUAUUUUAAACUUGAAGGAAGGCCAAUCACUAGGCUUGUUAAUUGCAUCAACUAACAUCCUUUCUUCAACCGCAAAGUAUACCAUCCUGAAACGAUGACACCUCAUGCUCUCGAUAGCCCAAGCCACACUAAGAAAUUGGGCAUCAUCUUUGGAUUCCACAUUCCCAAAAGACCUGCGACUAUGCAGUAAAACCGUUCCUCUUGAAUCUCUUACCACCUACGCAGCUCCUGCAAUUUUCUUUCUGUACUCCCACUUAAAUCUAAUAUUGCAUUUGACAAAGUUCUCCGGAGGCCUUUUCCAAGCAGCAGACGCUUGAAUCAAUCGAUUCCUAUUAUCAUCUGUACUCCUUCUCUCCAAACUUUGAGCUGCAUACCACUGAGAGGCUUCCUCUUCUGCUUUAGCACAAACUUGUACACUUUCAAAGAGAGCCCCUUCAAACAACAGGUUAUUCCUAUUUUUCCACAAACACCAAAGGACCCAUGGAAAAUUUCUGGUAGCUUCAAACACAUGUUUCUUUGUUUCCCAAAAGGAAAUGAGGUAGUUCACAUUCACAAAGAUCGAAAAACUAUCAAAACCAGCAGGAGGUGAAGGAAACCGUGUCAUAGCCCACACUUGUCUUGCAAAGGUACAAGAGAACAAAACAUGAUUAAUAGAUUCCCCGGUCUCUCCACAUGUCUGACAUUCCAGAUCACACUUCAUUCCCCUGUCCCUAAGCCCAUCAAGCACUGAUAAAGCACCAGACAAUGCUUUCCAAAUGAACACUUUAAGCUUUGAUGGAGCCAUAAGGUUCCAAACACGAUCCUUGAGGGGAUUAAGGGAAGGAAGCGCUUGCUGAUCCCUUAUCAAUUCCACAUUCUUCAUGGUAAAAGCUAACUCAUACCCAGACUUUACUGAAUAUAAGCCACUUCUUGUAUGUCUCCAUACCCAAGAAUCAUGUUCAGAGAUCACCGGCUGGUUCUUCUCCAAAAUCAUCAUAUCUCGAGGUACAAAGAGCUCACUCAAUUUCCUCCUGCUCCAUCUUCUUGUAUGGUGAUUGAUAAGUUCUAACACUUGUAAAUCAACAUUAAAAAACCUUUGUUUUUGUAGUGGGGGCCUACAAAUUCCAUUAUCAUCUUCCAGCCAUGGAUCAGUCCAAACUUUGAGCGAAAAUCCAUUCCCCACAGCUACCUUGAGACCUUGAACAAGAAGAUCCUUUCCUUCUAAGACAGUCCUCCAGGCAUAAGACGGUUUUUUGCCAAGCUGAGCUUUAACAAAGCACGUCCCUUCAUAAUAUUUCCCUUUAAGAACCUGCGACAUCAAGCAAUUUUCAAGAUUAAUAAGUCUCCAAGCUUGUUUGGCUAGGAGAGCCUUAUUAAAGCUCUCUAAAUCCUUGAAUCCCAUCCCUCCUAAGUCCUUCGGUAGACACAUCUUCUCCCAGCUUAUCCAAUGGAUUUUUCUUUUAUGCUCCACUGCACUCCACCAGAAAUUGGCCAAGGCACUUGAGAGAGACGUAAUCACCGUUUUCGGGAUCUUAAAUACCGACAUUGCAGAUACCGGAAGCGCUGAAGCGACAGCUUUUAUCAUCAUUUCUUUUCCAGCUUGAGAUAAAGUUCUCGCAUGCCAACCCGAAAUCCUUCUUCCCAUUUUCUCUUUUAGAUAGGAGAAGAGCUUGACCUUAGAUCCAUUGAAGCAUUCUGGCAAUCCCAGGUACUUAGCCUCCCCUCCUUCUGCCUCAAUCCCUAGAAUAUGUUUGACUCUGAUCUUAUUCUCUUCCCGCACUGAUUUACGAUAAUCGAAGAUUUCUGAGGAUUGAUAACCUGACUACAACAUAGGGACUAACUGUCUAAUUUACAUAAACUCAGUAGAAUAACCUUUGUUUAUUCAUUUAUUAAAGACAGAAAAUUCACACUCCAUUCAACCAAAUGCUCACAUUACAAAGUCGCUCAUCAUCUUCAACAGAAAGAUACAUAAAAGCCCUUUUAUUCACGUCCCUUGCAGCCUCCCCACAUUUCAUACUUCUGAAUUUACACAAGUGUUGCCUUGGCGAGCUGAACCGCUUAUGAAGUCGCGGCCGCACUGACCCUAUAGUGAUGAACCGCUUUCUCUCGCCCAUAAAACUUCUCAACAAUCGCAAGUGAAAACUCCAUUGCGGUCCCUGGAGCUCUGCUCGUUAUCACAUUCCCGUCCACAACAACUCUGUGCUCGAUGUGACUCUGGUCCGAAAGUUUGUCGCUCACCACUGGGUGUGUAGUUGCCUUCUUACCCUAUACAAAACAAUGUCUCUUAUGUCUCAGUUUACAAUAUAACACAAGAGUGGUACGUAACGUUUUCACAAUUCAAAGACUGUACCUUGAGUAAACCAUGAUGCUCAAAGACGUAAACAGGUGAUGCGCAGAUUCCUCCAUAUGGUUUGUUUGCUUCCGCUUGUUUCUUUAACAUAUUCACCAGUUUCUCGCAGCUUGCCAAUCUUGGAGCACCGUUAAGACCUCCCUGGAUGUGUUACAUCAGAGAAGUUAGAUUUUUUGUUUUUGUUUUUGUUAUAUUACAAUGAAUCUCUGGAAGUAAGCACUUACAGGCAACACAAUCAGAUCAAACGACUUCUCUGCAACUUCAUCAAGAAGCACAUCUGCUACUAACUUAGCUUUGCGGGAUCCUACAACUUCCAAACUGUUACCAACUGCAGCAAUCACGACGUUUGCUUUUGCCCUCCUUAGAAUAUCUACAAGCGCAAUAGCUUCAAUUUCCUCUGAGUCCUCUGCAAUGGGAACAAGAAUCUGAAACAGGAAAACGUUAUCUUUCUGAGUUUUUUAAACGACUAUUGAUAAAGAAAGACAAAAGCUUUACAACACAGCAUGUCCCUAGGAAUCUAUUUGACCAUAAAACAGAGACUGUCCUGGAAUAUGUUACAUGACCAAGUAGUAGAGCGGCAUAUGAACAUAUGUACCUGUGGAGUAUCUUCGAAUGACCAGUUUGUUUGGUUAAGCUCGGUAAAGGUAAACUCCUCACCAGGGUUAGGACGAACCAACUGAUAUCAAAUAACAGAACAAGUAAGUCCAAGAGGAGACGACAAAGCAAGUUUGAACACCAUAGCUUAACUACUAUGCUGCUUCUAAUAGAAAUCAUUAAGACAAAAACAUACCAAGCCACUAGAGACUUCAUCAGCUUUGUCUUUACCAAACAACUGCUCAAUAAGAGUGAUGGAGAAUUCAAUGGUGGUUCCUGGUCCACGACUUGUCACAAUCCUUCCAUCUAUCUCCACUCUUGACUCACUAGCAGUGGCACAAGUAGCCGCAAGUUUCUCCAUGAAAACAGGGUAACCCGUUGCCUGCAUGCAAGAAACCCCAAAUUAAUCCAGACAUUAAGACAAGAACUGAAAACAAGAAGUAAAGUUGUUUGAUACUGAUCGCUUAUGACUUACGGUUUUUCCCUCUAGGAGACCCCAAGUACCAAGAGCCAAAGCAGGAGCACAACAUAUAGCUGCGUUAAGUCUUCCAUCUGUGUCUUGUUUCUUCACCAUGUUCUCUAACGGUUUGCAGUUCUUAAGAGUCUCGCCUCCGGGAAGCCCUCCCUUUUUACCAAUCAUAUAAUCAAUACUAAUAUCAGCAAAACAACUCUGAAGUAUUAAAAAAAAAAAACAUUAAAAGCAAUUAUUCCAUGAACUAGUUUUUUUUUGGUGAACUAGUUUUAUACAUGCAUAAAAGAAAUUAAGCUUUGUACCACCAACUUUAUUUGCAGGGAGUAUUGAACAUCGCUAGUGAUAAUUGAUAUUAUAGAAGCAAACUUACGGGGAGAACAAUAAGGUCGAAAAUAGAGUCGGUGAUAUCGGAGAGGAGAGUAUCAGCGACCAUCUUGAUGUUAUGACAAGCAUCAACGCCAACUUUAUCCUCGACAGACGCCACCGUCACGUCAGCACCACCUCUCCGCAAGACGGUGAUCAUCGCCACUGCUUCAAGUGGCUCGGUACCGUGAGCAAUAGGGAUCAUAACCUACAAAAAAAACUCGGAUCAUCAAGAGAAACUCCAAAUAAUAAUUAAAAAGAUCCGUUACGUACGAGGAGGGAAAGAACGAUGACUUACCGUCUUAGUAGAUGAAGCCAUAGUUUCUAAGAUUCGAGAGAGAGGUAGAGAACUGUAGAGUCACGAAGAUUGUGUAUUGAAUAAUGGAGUUGAAGUUUAGUGAAGAGGAAAGUAGUGUCACUUGUGGGGUUAAUAUAGUGCAGAGUCUCCACUUACGACUUUAUUUUCUAUAUCACUUUGAUGAAAAGCUAGAAGUACAAGUUAGACGUGUGCGAUGACGUAUGCACCGGGAAAAAAGCUGUUCAUGAAGACGUGGCAAGCCAUGAUUGGUAGAAUGUGGCAAUGUCUUUACUUUGAGUGUUACACGUCAUCGUAUUGGAUAAAGCCUAAAUGUCCCACUUUGCUUUCGAGUAAACUAACACGCAGGACCGGUCCUAGACAAAACCUAACGAAACAUUGGCUUUACGUCUCUAAAAAUUUUUGAAAAAAUUACAUAGAAAAAAGCCUCCAAAAUUUUUUUUUAGGCCCCCAAAUUUACAAAAAAAAUUUUUUAGCUGGAACUUUUUAGAAACCGUCUACAGCUCCCUAAAUCUCGGGGCCGGCCCUGCUAAGACGGCGUGUGGUUGGCGAGGGAAAAAGGUGUUGGGACAAACGAUAUCACGUCCCGGUUCUUGAUAUAGUUCAUUCACGUGUUGUUGUUUGCAGCAACUUGACACUUGUAGCAGAGUAAACCAGAUUGAUGUAUGCAUGAACCGGGAUAUUCUAUUUCUUGUUAAUAGUGUUCAAAAUGGUUUGUGGUUGUGUUAAUGGGUCAAAAAAGUACCAACUCCCACUCUCUAAAUAGCUUUCACACAUUAUUCGCUAACCAAAAUCGAUUAUGACCCCAUGAAAAUUAUUGAUAAGGCUAAAGAUAGCGUGCGAUGAUUUUGUAUGCAUGAAGAUAUCAUGGUCUAGUGGUUAGUCAUGGGCUGCAAAUAUUUUUUUUUUAAAAAGAUAUCAUUCUUUGGGGUUGGGAUUAAAUCUUUGAACUCGAAGAAGAAUCGAAGAAGAUCUUGUGUUAGGAUAAUGACAUAUAAUUCUCCAAGAUAAUAAACUUAAGCUUUCCUUAAUAUAAAUCUUAUAUCUUCCCUCAAAGCCGGUAGAAUUAUCUUCCUUUUUCACCUGGACCAGUUAUAUAUCAGGAUUUGAAACCCCAAAAUCAUAGUAUUCAUUUUAUUUGAAUAUUUUUAUUAAAUAUAUCUCAAAUGGCAUUUGGAUGUUUAGUAUAUAUCUUGAAUUUGCCUUUGGAUAGUAUUGCUAGAUGACAAAAGUAUUUCGGAUAUUGAUGAUCUAGUAUUAUGGGAGUGAUUGGUAGUUGCUGUAGGUGAUGUUUACAGUCCUAUUUAUUUCUAAAGCAUCAACUUCAGAGCAAUCAAACUUUAAAUAUUUUUUUUGAAACCACAGCUCUUGAAAUAACCUGGAGAUGUACACGUGCUCUGCAGAGCCAAAUAUUCAAAACAAUUUUUUAGUGUUUUCCAUAAAAUUCCCCAGCAAUAAAAUCUAAAGCCACAGCAAAAAGUUUACAAAUUCAAAAAUUUUAAAACUACAUCCAUUACCAAUCAGACCCUAUGUCGUCGCAUCAUCCAUGACAAGUGUCACGGUAACGAAUUGGAUCACAAAAUAAAAUAGUAUUUUCGUUAUCCACUAUUAACCCAAAAGACAAAAAAUAUCAUUCCUCGUAAUCCGGACUAAUAAAAUAUAAAGACGGAUAUUAUACCCUUUGAGCACAAGAUUAUAGACAAAAUUCAUCUUGGAUCAAUGCUAAUAAACCAGAUUAAUUAAAACUCCACUCCACUUAUUACUUUGAUCAUUUGAAUGAAUUUUCAGGAGGGGAAACAAAUCGCAACGCUGAUAUUUAAAAUGUCCAAUAUCGGUAAAAAUUACAGUUUAGGCUUAAGGAAUAGUAUGUUUUAAUGAAUACUUAAACAACAUUAAGCUAUCUUUGACGACACAUUGAAUCUCUAAUAAAUACUUAAACAACAUUAAGCUGUCUGUCUUAUCAAUACAAUAAAUAUAAGCCAUGGAGAGGAUGUCCACGUAGGAUAGGAAAAUCAACCAAUCAGAGAGCUCGAAGUUGCCACGUCUUCUCAUUUAUUUUUCGUAAAAAAUGAAAAAAUAAUGCGAAAGAAAGUAUUGAACCCGGAUUAGUAUGACAUAAAUAUAGGACAGUUACCACUAAGCCAUUGAAACUUUCUUGGACACAUAUACAAGAAUCGCUAAGUAUGUAAUCACAAACUCGUAUGUACAGUUACAAUAAUAUGAAUUCAACUUUCAAGACUCCGAUACUUUGUUUUGUAAAAAAAAAUAAGUAAGUGACUAAGCUAAUAUAUUCUUUGAAAGUGUGAGAACAUUGACAAAUAUGAAAAAACAUAGAUUUUUGUUUUCGUGACAAAGUUAAGAAUAUACAAUACUAAAAGGCAAAUAUAAGCCGUGGAGAGGGUGUCCACGUAGGAUAGAAAAAUUAACCAAUCAGAGAGCUCGAAGUUGCUAAGUCAUCUCAUUUAUUUUUUCGUAAAAAAUGAAAAAAUAAUGCGAAAGAAAGUAUUGAACCCGGGUUAGUAUGACAUAAAUAUAAGGCAGUUACCACUAAGCCAUUGAAACUUUCUUGGACACAUAUACAAGAAUCGCUAAGUAUGUAAUCACAAAAUCUUAUGUACAGUUACAAUAAUAUGAAUUCAACUUUCAAGACUCCGAUACUGUGUUUUGUAAAAAAAAAUAAGUAGGUGACUAAGCUAAUAUAUUCUUUGAAAGUGUGAGAACAUUGACACAUAUGAAAAAACACAUACUAAAAGGCAAAUAUAAGCCAUGGAGAGGGUGUCCACGUAGGAUAGGAAAAUUAACCAAUCAGAGAGCUCGAAGUUGCCACGUCAUCUCAUUUAUUUUUUCGUAAAAAUGAAAAAAUAAUGCGAAAGAAAGUAUUGAACCCGGGUUAGUAUGACAUAAAUAUAGGACAGUUACCACUAAGCCAUUGAAACUUUCUUGGACACAUAUACAAGAAUCGCUAAGUAUGUAAUCACAAACUCUUAUGUACAGUUACAAUAAUAUGAAUUCAACUUUCAAGACUCCGAUCCUUUGUUUUGUAAAAAAAAAUAAGUAAGUGCCUAAGCUAAUAUCUUCUUUGAAAGUGUGAGAACAUUGACACAUAUGAAAAAACAUAGAUUUUUGUUUUCGUGACAAAGUUAAGAAUUUUGUAAAAGUAAGUUUAACAUAUAAAUUUUCGUGACAAAUAUGAAAAAGCAUAAAAGGGUGUCAUAUAUAUAUAUACAAUACUAAAAGGCAAAUAUAAGCCAUGGAGAGGCUAUCCACGUAGGAUAGGAAAAUUAACCAAUCAGAGAGCUGGAAGUUGCCCCGUCAUCUCAUUUAUUUUUUCGUAAAAAAUGAAAAAACGAAAAAAUGAAAAAACAAUGCGAAAGAAAGGAUCGAACCCGGGUUAGUAUGACAUAAAUAUAUGGCAGUUACCAUUAAGACAUUGAAACUUUCUUGAGGUAAAUAUAAGCCAUGCAGAGAGUGUCCACGUAGGAUAGGAAAAUCAACCAAUCAGAGAGCUCGAAGUUGCCCCGUCAUCUCAUUUAUUUUUUCGUAAAAAAUGAAAAAAACAAUGCGAAGGAAAUGAUCGAACCCGGGUUAGUAUGACAUAAAUAUAGGACAGUUACCACUAAGACAUUGAAACUUUCUUGGACACAUAUACAAGAAUCACUAAGUAUGUAAUCACAAACUCUUAUGUACAGUUACAAUAAUAUGAAUUCAACUUUCAAGACUCCGAUACUUUGUUUUGUAAAAAAAAAUAAGUAAGUGACUAAGCUAAUAUAUUCUUUGAAAGUGUGAGAACAUUGACAAAUAUGAAAAAGAAUAGAUUUUUGUUUUCGUGACAAAAUUAAGAAUUUUGUAAAAGUAAGUUUAACAUAUAAAUUUUCGUGACAAAUAUAAAAAGCAUAGAUUUUUGUACAAUUUUGACAAAACAACUCAAAACAUAGUUCUUUAAUGUCUUAAUAAAAUAUUAUUUAAGGGUGUAAUAAUUAAAUAUAUCAAUUCAAUAAAAUUUGUAAUUUAUAGACAAAACAAUAACACAAUUUUUUUUGAAACAUUUGUUUAACCUAUUGAUUUUUUUUCAUGAAAAUCCAACUAAACAAGAUAAAAAAAUAAUUAGAUUUACAAAUAUUUAAUUACCAUUUUAUUCAAUUUUGAUUAAUUUCAAAUUGUAAUAAUGUAUCUUUUUGAAAUUACAAAAAUAAUGUUCUUUCUUUAUUACACUAGCAUUAUAUAUUGAUUCUAUAUACACAAAUAAAUAUAAUAUAACAACAUAAGAUUGCUUUCUCCGAUUCAUAUGAAAACUUUUUAAGUUAUCCACUAAAGAAAAUUAAUUAAAUCAAUCAAAUUGCUAGAAUACAACAAAUUAAUAUAUAAUUUUAUUUUAAAUUAAAUUAUUUAAAAAGUGUAUUUUCAUUAAAAACAAAAUAACAAAUAAGUAAAACUGAUUUGAUGGUAAUUUUUAUGACAUAUAUAUAUAUAUAUAUAUAUAUAUAUAUCAAUUCUGUGAAAGAAAUAGAAGCUUAAUAUGGAAAAACAUCUUAAAUACAAAAAACUCUAAAAAUUAACAAAAAAAAACUAAUAAAAAUUAAUAAAACAUUUAAGCGAUAAUUAGACAAAUUUGAUUUUUUUUUGCUAGCCAAAAGUUUAUUAUUAAUUAGUAUCAGUUAUUUCAAGAUGUUUAGGAAAUGACAGAUAAAAAAAUAGGAUGGACAUAGAUGAUAUAUGAACUAUGAAUAGUACUUUGUAAAGCUGACUUAGAUAACACAUCUGCACAUCCAUUUCCAGUCCUUUUUGAUGCCUAAAUUCAAUUUCUUCAGAGCUGUUAUUCCACAAAAGAUCGAAUGAGAUAUUGUUUUGAUAUUCAGAUUUGUUUCUUGACUGUUAAGAAGAUUGAUAACUGUAAAAAUGUCUCAUUCGAAUAUGAUAUGUCUAUAACCGAGUCAGUUUGUUAAAAAAGUAAAUAAUUUUAUUUUGCUUAUAUUAUAUAAUAAAUAUAUAUUAUUUACUGAUAAUAAAAAUAUAGUUAUUCAUCUAUCACAAAUAUCUAUGCAAAUAUGUGAAUCAAGUACAACAAUCAAACAACAUAAUGAUUUCCACAAAGAAAAUUUAAAAAAUAUAUUUAUGUUAUGUAGUCUUAUUUUAUAUUCUUUAAAUAAAGUAAUACAAUAUUAUACAUUAUUUUUUAGAAUUGAGAAAUACAUAUAUCAUUUAGACAAAUUAAGCGAUAAUUAGACAAAUUUAAUUUUUUUUGCCAGCCAAAAGUUUAUUAUUAAUUAGCAUCAGUUAUUUCAAGAUGUUUAAGAAAUGAUGGACGAAAAAAUAGGAUGGACAUAAAUGAUAUAUGAACUAUGAAUAGUACCUUAUAAAGCUGAAUAGUACCUUAUAAAGCUGACUUAGAUAACACAUCUGCACAUCCAUUUCCAGUCGUUUUUGAUGCAUAAAUUCAAUUUCUUCAGAGUAGUUAUUCCACAAAGAGAUCGUAUGAGAUAUUGUUUUGAUAUUCAGAUUUGUUUCUUGAUUGUUAAGAAUAUUGAUAACUGUAAAAAUGUCUCCUUCGAAUAUGAUAUGUCUAUAACCGAGUCCCCAACAUGAGAGAAGUUUGUUUAAAAAGUAAAUAAUUUCAUUUUUCUUAUAUUAUAUAAUAAAUAUAUAUUAUUUACUGAUAAUAAAAAUAUAGUUAUUCAUCUAUCACAAACAUCUAUGCAAAUAUGUGAAUCAAGUACAACAAUCAAACAACAUAAUGAUUUCCACAAAGAAAAUUUAAAAAAUAUAUUUAUGUUAUGUAGUCUUACUUUAUAUUCUUUAAAUAAUGUAAUACAAUAUUAUACAUUAUUUUUUUAGAAUUGAGAAAUACAUAUAAUAUCUUAUCCGCGCGGUUAAAAAAUCUAGUAAGAAUAAAAGCUAAAGAGUUUUGGUUUUUGGGUUAUUAAACUAAUUUGUUUCAACAUAAAAUAGAUUUUGUUUACAAAAGAGAGAGAAAAAAAUGUGAGACAUUGAGAAGGGACAUAUAAUGUCCUUUCACUUUCUCACUUCUUUUGACAUGUAUCACACUGAAAUAAGAAAACUAACAUAAAACAGGAGGGCUCGUGCUCCCACAAUACAAAACAAGUACAAUUUCACCUGUUUGCAAAUAAAUUUCUACUGCAAGGCAGAUAAAAUGCAACUUAUACCAAAGAGAUGAUGCAACUACGUUAACAGAGAUGUAUUUUCUUCUCUUUUUUUUCUUUGUUUUAAAUAGAAUAAGAGCGCCAAAAAUAAGCAAGACAAGAACAUGAACCUAAAGUUUAGUACAAAACCGAUAACUUAAACAACCAAUAGCUUAUUAGUUGGCAAAUUUGAUUCCUUGUCGAUGGAGGAUUUGAGUUUCAUCUUUGAGGGCUGCUAAGCCUUUCAUUUCAAAGUCUGAGAGUGGCUCUCUAGAUCGAACACUUCCUCCACUCCGCUCUUUAUCAAUCUACCCGCCAAACCAGAAGGAGCCAAAGGAGGAUAAUGACCAUCUUGAUCUAUAUAAUCUAGUGAUUUGAUUGAUUGUGGACAUUUUUGGUAGACUUAAAACUUCAGAUUUCAGCAGAAUAUCCAUUUUGAAGAGCUAUCAUACUGUAGCCAAACAACAAGAGGAAUAAUUGAGCAUCAUUUAACCACCUUACAGAGCUACACAAUCACACAACGAUCAAGUAUCAAAGGUAUACUACAUUCAUGCUUUUAUCUAGAAACAGAAUCAGAAACGGAAAUGCUAUAAGAUGAACUAACAACACGAGGACUCCAAGUGAAAAUCACUUAAGAACACUAAAGAUAACACACCACAGUUACUACAAGGCUAUUCUCUCCACACAAAACCACAAAACAGUGAAGACAAAAGGCGUUUUAAGUCUUCUUGCUACUGUACUCUCAAUCACUUCCUCAGAUUAUCUAUACAUGUCCAGAAUGCAUGAUUAAAGGAAAACCCACGAUUGGUUCCAACUACUUUAACCCUGGUAUGGGUUCCCGCUGCCAUCUCGUUUAGGUGGAUAGUUGUUCUGGUGCUGUGGCUGCUGCGUUCCACCACUCUGCUCCUGGUCGUUGUUGUUAUUACGUGAACAUCCUGCAUUUGGUGGACUUUCUCCCUUGUUGUUUUGCGCUGGCGCUCCUCCCUUGUUGUCCCCCUGUUUUUCUGCGCUGGUGCUCCUCCCAUAUUGUUUUGCGCUGGCGCUCCUCUCCUGUUUUUCUGCACUGGCGCUCCUCCCAUGUUGUUUUGCGCUGGUUAUAUAGAACCAUGCCACUGUUACUCAAGUCUCGACACAAUACCAGACUGAUAAAACUGAAGACAAAGGAGUUUUUAAAUUCUUGCUAAAUGGCACUCUCACUCGCGAGGAGUACCUUUCUUUGGUUGCUCCUUCUUCAACUCCUUAUUCUCCUGCGCGUUUUGAAACUGCAUGAAUGAUGCUAGCUCUUCAUCUCCCAACAGACAUCUCGCCAACGAAUUCCCUUGCUCUUGAUCACGUCCCCAUGAAGUUUCCUGGCCGCUGCCAUCUCGGUUAGGUGGAUAGUUGUUCUGGUACUGUGGCUGCUGCAUUCCACCACCCUGCUGCUG